rnacentral:rRNA from 1 species
CGGCCUACCAAGGCGACGAUCGGUAGCCGAACUGAGAGGUUGAUCGGCCGCAUUGGGACUGAGACACGGCCCAGACUCCUACGGGAGGCAGCAGUGGGGGAUAUUGGUCAAUGGGGGAAACCCUGAACCAGCAACGCCGCGUGAGGGAAGACGGCCUUCGGGUUGUAAACCUAAGUGAUCAGGGACGAAGGAAGUGACGGUACCUGAAAAGCAAGCUCCGGCUAACUAC